rnacentral:rRNA from 1 species
AGACCCGAAACCCGGUGAUCUAGCCAUGGGCAGGUUGAAGGUUGGGUAACACUAACUGGAGGACCGAACCGACUAAUGUUGAAAAAUUAGCGGAUGACCUGUGGCUGGGGGUGAAAGGCCAAUCAAACCGGGAGAUAGCUGGUUCUCCCCGAAAGCUAUUUAGGUAGCGCCUCGUGAAUUCAUCUCCGGGGGUAGAGCACUGUUUCGGCUAGGGGGCCAUCCCGGCUUACCAACCCGAUGCAAACUGCGAAUACCGGAGAAUGUUAUCACGGGAGACACACGGCGGGUGCUAACGUCCGUCGUGAAGAGGGAAACAACCCAGACCGCCAGCUAAGGUCCCAAAGUCAUGGUUAAGUGGGAAACGAUGUGGGAAGGCCCAGACAGCCAGGAUGUUGGCUUAGAAGCAGCCAUCAUUUAAAGAAAGCGUAAUAGCUCACUGGUCGAGUCGGCCUGCGCGGAAGAUGUAACGGGGCUAAACCAUGCACCGAAGCUGCGGCAGCGAACGUAUCACCCAAGACAACUUUACGGAGUUGACGAUUGACGGAGCGAAGCGACGUCAAAGCGUUCAUUAAAGUCGAGUUGGCUUAGGGAUACGUUCGUUGGGUAGGGGAGCGUUCUGUAAGCCUGUGAAGGUGUGUCGUGAGGCAUGCUGGAGGUAUCAGAAGUGCGAAUGCUGACAUAAGUAACGAUAAAGCGGGUGAAAAGCCCGCUCGCCGGAAGACCAAGGGUUCCUGUCCAACGUUAAUCGGGGCAGGGUGAGUCGACCCCUAAGGCGAGGCCGAAAGGCGUAGUCGAUGGGAAACGGGUUAAUAUUCCCGUACUUGGUGUUACUGCGAAGGGGGGACGGAGAAGGCUAUGUUGGCCGGGCGACGGUUGUCCCGGUUUAAGCGUGUAGGUGUGUGUUCCAGGUAAAUCCGGUUCACUUUAACACUGAGGCGUGAUGACGAGGCACUACGGUGCUGAAGCAACAAAUGCCCUGCUUCCAGGAAAAGCCUCUAAGCAUCAGGUAACAUCAAAUCGUACCCCAAACCGACACAGGUGGUCAGGUAGAGAAUACCAAGGCGCUUGAGAGAACUCGGGUGAAGGAACUAGGCAAAAUGGUGCCGUAACUUCGGGAGAAGGCACGCUGACACGUAGGUGAAGUGAUUUACUCACGGAGCUGAAGUCAGUCGAAGAUACCAGCUGGCUGCAACUGUUUAUUAAAAACACAGCACUGUGCAAACACGAAAGUGGACGUAUACGGUGUGACGCCUGCCCGGUGCCGGAAGGUUAAUUGAUGGGGUCAGCGCAAGCGAAGCUCCUGAUCGAAGCCCCGGUAAACGGCGGCCGUAACUAUAACGGUCCUAAGGUAGCGAAAUUCCUUGUCGGGUAAGUUCCGACCUGCACGAAUGGCGUAAUGAUGGCCAGGCUGUCUCCACCCGAGACUCAGUGAAAUUGAACUCGCUGUGAAGAUGCAGUGUACCCGCGGCAAGACGGAAAGACCCCGUGAACCUUUACUAUAGCUUGACACUGAACAUUGAGCCUUGAUGUGUAGGAUAGGUGGGAGGCUUUGAAGUGUGGACGCCAGUCUGCAUGGAGCCGACCUUGAAAUACCACCCUUUAAUGUUUGAUGUUCUAACGUGGACCCGUAAUCCGGGUUGCGGACAGUGUCUGGUGGGUAGUUUGACUGGGGCGGUCUCCUCCUAAAGAGUAACGGAGGAGCACGAAGGUUGGCUAAUCCUGGUCGGACAUCAGGAGGUUAGUGCAAUGGCAUAAGCCAGCUUGACUGCGAGCGUGACGGCGCGAGCAGGUGCGAAAGCAGGUCAUAGUGAUCCGGUGGUUCUGAAUGGAAGGGCCAUCGCUCAACGGAUAAAAGGUACUCCGGGGAUAACAGGCUGAUACCGCCCAAGAGUUCAUAUCGACGGCGGUGUUUGGCA